CACGUAGGGUGCGAGCGUUGUCCGGAAUUAUUGGGCGUAAAGAGCUCGUAGGCGGUGUGUCGCGUCGGCCGUGAAAACCUGCAGCUUAACUGUGGGCUUGCGGUCGAUACGGGCAUCACUGGAGUUCGGUAGGGGAGACUGGAAUUCCUGGUGUAGCGGUGAAAUGCGCAGAUAUCAGGAGGAACACCAAUGGCGAAGGCAGCUCGCUGGGACGGUACUGACGCUGGAGGCGCGAAAGCGUGGGGAGCAAACAGG
rnacentral:rRNA from 1 species